GCAGCUCCUGGGUGAGGCUGUGUGGGGAAAUGGGUGCAGCCUCUUGUUCUUGCAUUCCUGGUCUCCCAGAUAAUCCAUUGGAUCUGCUCCUGGAGCAAGGUGCCUCUGGACAGUGAUGGAUUAACUGGCUAAGAAUUUGCCAAGGGCAUCAACAGCAGUUUUCCCAGGCUCCAGCACAAGGAUUAUGUAGUCAAUCCACAAAUGACUCAAAUCUUUGAAGAAAAGGACAUGGUUAUCAGAGAGGCUUUGACGACAGCAGGGACGGGAGUGCUAUCUGCCUUUUUCCAUCAGAGAUUCCCAUUCCCUCUCAUUAACAUACUCAGGACAUCAGCACAGCCAUCGGCCCGAGGGAAUCGCUUCCAACUUUUAAGGGAAUGUGCACAAGACCUCGCCCCUGCGUUGUUUCAGACAGAUCAAAGCAGAUUUGCCUCGUGUAAAGGUUCUUCAGUCCCACUGAGGAUGUGAUGUGAAAGCACACACACUUUGUGUGGGGAAAGGAGAUGCCUCUACCUGCUCUCUCCCAGCGCCCUGUAAUGAAAAAUGCUUUUGGAGCAACACUGGAAAUAAGCCAUCAAAAUAUCUGAUUAAACCUCUUAGGAAACUCUCACUAAUCACCUUCUCUGCUCUUGAUGGAAUGUAUUUAUGCAUUAUAAAUAUACUUACUAUGUGUGUGUGCUCCAUAAAUCACACCCAGCACUUGUAUAUGAUGUAUAAGCACAUAUAUAGAACACACACAAAUACAGAUGCCAAGCUCCCACAGAGUUCAUCACUGGAAAAUGUUUGAAGGAUCUGAUCCUUAAUAUUUAAUGAGAAAGAUGCUAUUUCCUUCCUCAGCUUUUAUCUCUGGUUUGGCAUAGUCAUUAAAUUUGUUGUUUCCUUGCAAGAUUAUAUAAUUUAUGACCUAAUUUUAGACUUUUGUGUAACCGCAUUGAAACACUCGUGGCGUAUCCCGAUUUCCUCACACGGAGUGUUCCAGCCUCAGCCACCAGCUCCAACACGACUUCUGUGAGCUGCCUGUCAGCAAGGAGUCACAGGCAUGAAAGGAAAACAGCCCAGCAAUAUUCAGGCAGCAUUAGAAGAUUAGUUUGUGGGGGGUUUGCCCUGCAAAAAAUAUGAUUUAGCAGCAUUUCCAAAGCCGUCUGCGGUGCUGGCAGGAAUCCCCAGUCCUGAUGCCCUGCUGGAUGUGUUUGGGCCAGUAGCAGCCAGGAUGCAAAGCUGAGCAUCCACAGCCAUCACUCUCCUGCUCUUCACAGUAGAUGUUGCUGUCUUCCAAAUAUCCAGAAUUCAUUGAUAGUGAAAAUUUUGAGGAAUGGGACUUUAUUCUGCCCACAACAGCUUGGCAAAUUCUGAAUAUGCUGAUGCAGCAAUAAUUGGCUAGAAAAGGUAUUUUUCUUCUGUCACCCUAAAUGUAUAAAAUUAGAAAUGUAUCCUCAGUGUUCAUCCACCAGAAUAUCCAUUUUAUUAAGUGUUAAAAGUUUUUCAUGAUACUGAACCAAAACUUAUGUGUCUUUUAAGGAUUUUUUGUGGCAUGGUUAAAAACAUUGACAGGAUGUUUCUAACGUGGUAAAUUUCAGAGGAUCAUUUUAUGAGUUUUUCAAUUGUAAUCCUGGAGUUUCUUCCCUUUGCAGUUUUUCAAAAGGUGGAGUUAAACAAACCCAAAUGACAGGAAGAUGCAGCUGGGUGCUUUUAUAGGUAAACUAGUGAGAAGAGGCUCAGAGAUGUGGGUGAUUUGGUUUAGUGGAUAUGGUGGAAUUGGGUUGAAGGUUGGAAUGGAUGAUCUUGGAGGUCUUUUCCAAACUCGGUGAUUUUGUGAUUCUCUUGUGUGAGCCACAGAGGUUCAGGGUAGCAAACACUCCAUGGAGCUGCUCUGACUUAGGGAAAAGUCCUUUUCUAUGUUAGUUUUGAUUCCAGAGUUUUAUUUAACCUGUGGAAGCAGGGCUAAGGAAAGAGCAGGGCAUUGGCAGUUAAUAUUUUAUGCCUUUUUUUUUCCCUUAGGAAAAAAUUCUCCCUUUUUAAGGGGAUAAAGUGCAAUGGGAAUAGGACUGCUCAGUGGAGAUUUCCUUGUGGCAGAAGGAUGGGCAGCAUGGAGAUUUCUGAGAUGGUUUGGAUGUCACUUCCAUCAAGUAGAAGGAAUGUUAUGCUAAAACUGUUCAUCAAAACUGAGACCUCACAGGUUAUUUUGUUGGAGAGUCACGAAAACAACCACUGAUUUUUUUCCCUAGGGAAGAGAUUUUGUGCUAGAGGAGAAAAUGAGAAAACAGCCAGACCCCAAAAGAGGGAAAAAGGGAAAACCUGAGAUUAGAGCAGAGAAAAGGUAUCAACAUUUGUAAAAGAAAUUUGAUGAAGCUCUAAUUGUAUUUAAAAUCCACGUUUGUUUUGAAAUCCAAGGAACUACUGUCAAAUUAUUUGUGACACGUUAUUUCCAUAGUCAGAAAAUCCUCAUCUCUUGUAUCCCACUUUCAAAAGUUCAGUGUAUUCCAGUCUGAAAUCCCAAAAGACAGGGAAUAUAUCUGGAUUUCUGAUGCUUGGGAGUAUUGGCAUUAGAUGCAAGCAGCUGGGUUUUCCCAGGAAUGUUAUUCUGGAAUAUUUGAGUCACACAAGUUCUGGCACAGGUGCUGGGGGUGAUGUGGGCACAGGAGCACUGUGAGGUGGACUCGGGAUGUCACUGCUCUUCCUGGAUGUCACAUUGGAGCAUCGUGGUCUGGGUAAAUCCAGCCAGGAAUCUGCCAGUGGCCUCAGCAGAGCUGGAAUUCCAUCCCAGAGUGACACGGGCUGGUGACAUGGAGUGAUGUCAAGUCACUGAUGUAGAACUGGAAAGAUUCCUUGUCACAUAACUGAUCCCAUCGGGUUCCCAAAUUUCACUUGGGAUUUUUUUACCAAGUUUCCAUUCCCACUGCAAAUAUAUGGAUAACAUGUUUAGGCAUUAUCCUUAAAAAGUAAAGAAAUAAUUUCUUUUGGAGAUGUGUGAUCUGUAGAAGACAUUUGUGUAAUUUUGCAUUCUAAAUGUGAUUUAUAUUUAUAAAUAAAUUUGCAUAAAAUCUCCAGCUCUCGAUGUCAUAGUUCUAUUCUAUCUUUAAUUCAGAUGCUCAAAAAAUGUAAUUUUUUUUUUUUUUACAGCUAAA